rnacentral:lncRNA from 1 species
UUGAAACGAAAAAAUUGAAUCGCACACGCAGUCCUUGGAGGACUAUAGCUUCCAAUGCAUGACCUAUUUUACCAUUAACAAUGUAGUAGCCCAAAUUUGAUCGGGCUCAAAUAAAACAAAAGAAAAUAAAUAAAUAAAUAAAUAUUUAUUUAUUUAUUUAUUAAACAAUCCAUUAAAAGUCCAGGUUACAAAACCCAAACAUUGGGGGCCAAUGUCUAAACAUAACAGACCAACCCAAACAUUGGGGGCCAAUGUCUAAACAUAACAGACCGACCCAAACCCCACAUCGGGCCCAAAUUUUAAAACACGUUACACAGCAAACCCCUAAAAACACUUGAUCCAUCUAUCAGGCUAACCCAAAUCUAAAAGUAGCCCAAAAGGCCCAAAUGACUUAAGAGAAACAGGAAACCCUAGGGUUUCCUGAAGACUGCAGCGCCGCAGCAUCUUCUGGAAGCCUCGGGGAGCAUUUGUUCAACUCCCCAAAAUCGAGGCCAUCAAUGCACUGUUGACACGCCAUUAAUGCGCUGUCUAGAAGCUUGUCUCUCUCGCGACCGUCUAGCUCCUGAAUCAAGGCCCGAUCGACUCUGUUCCAGCGACCUUUUCGCUGCCAAGAUCAUUGCCCCCGUAGCAGUCCUAGCCUUGGAUUAUGCCACCAUCGGCGCUUUAGCAUUCAUCACGCCAGCGGCCCUUGGAUCACCGAGAUCCUCGCGGUCACCUGCAGAAAAAGGAAAGAAAUCAAAGCAAAAUUACAGCAAAUAGAUUAGAACAGGGUUUGGAAAGAAAUCUUUCGAUUUCUUUCCAAAAUAGGCAGUAGAUUAAGGCUAUAAAGCCUUUUCUCAAAUCUGUAAAAAGGGGAGAACACACACACGCAGAAAAAAAACACCAGAGAGAUAUAUCAAAAUACUGUACACAGAAUAUUUUUGCAAUAAUACACUAGAGAUUUUUACAGGAAACGAAGGUGAUAUAUUAUUUCAUUCUCUUUAUCGCAAGUUCAUGCAUAUAAUACAUUGAAAAACAGAGGAAAAAAGGUACCUUUAGAUUCGUCGCGAAAAACGAAGCUUUUCGAAUCCCGACUGCCGUGUGUGGCGAGGUCGGCGACGGCGCGUGGGCGCAUGUGUGCCCGAUGGCCGCAGCUUGGCCUGAAGAGGCCAGAGCCCGGAGGGCGUCUCCUCUCCCCUCUCUCAGAGAAUUCUUUAUUUUUUUUAAC